rnacentral:rRNA from 1 species
AGUGAACGCUGGCGGUAGGCCUAACACAUGCAAGUCGAACGGCAGCACAGUAAGAGCUUGCUCUUACGGGUGGCGAGUGGCGGACGGGUGAGGAAUACAUCGGAAUCUACUUUUUCGUGGGGGAUAACGUAGGGAAACUUACGCUAAUACCGCAUACGACCUACGGGUGAAAGCAGGGGAUCUUCGGACCUUGCGCGAUUGAAUGAGCCGAUGUCGGAUUAGCUAGUUGGCGGGGUAAAGGCCCACCAAGGCGACGAUCCGUAGCUGGUCUGAGAGGAUGAUCAGCCACAUUGGAACUGGAAAACGGUCCAGACUCCUACGGGAGGCAGCAGUGGGGAAUAUUGGACAAUGGGCGCAAGCCUGAUCCAGCCAUACCGCGUGGGUGAAGAAGGCCUUCGGGUUGUAAAGCCCUUUUGUUGGGAAAGAAAAGCAGCAGGUUAAUACCCCGCUGUUCUGACGGUACCCAAAGAAUAAGCACCGGCUAACUUCGUG